rnacentral:rRNA from 1 species
UACGUAGGGUGCUAGCGUUGUCCGGAAUCAUUGGGCGUAAAGCGCGUGUAGGCGGUCCGGUAAGUCCGCUGUGAAAGUCGGGGGCUCAACCCUCGAAUGCCGGUGGAUACUGUCGGGCUAGAGUGCGGAAGAGGCGAGUGGAAUUCCUGGUGUAGCGGUGGAAUGCGCAGAUAUCAGGAGGAACACCGAUGGCGAAGGCAGAUCUCUGGGCCGUAACUGACGCUGAGGAGCGAAAGCAUGGGGAGCGAACAGG